CGCCUUAUUAGUCUAGGGCCCCCCUCCCUUUAGAUGCUUUAACAUGACCCUAAAAAAGUCUUUCUUUCCCAUUACUUCUUCAGCCGAUGAAAGGACAUGACCAUCUUCAAGCUUUAACUGCUCAUCCUUCAACAGUCGGUCAAAGAUCUCAUACGUUUUCGUAAUGUCGAAUGAGUACUCCUUUCCAACCUCGGCCAUGCUUUUGCUCUUAUCGAUGUGAUCCUUGUCUUUAGCUUGGCACCAGGGCGGCUUGCUUACCUACCUUAUGACUUUCCGACUUUCUUUUACUAUUCCUAUUCCCUGCUCUGCUUAAUGUACGAGGAGGAAUAGAGAUCGACAAGCAAGAGUCAAGCCUCUUUCCUGAUUAGCGAAUAGUGCCUCACUUUCUUUCUAAGCUGGCAUCAGUCUCAGACAAGAAAGAAGAAAAAGAGAAUCCUAUUUCCGACAUUCAAGAGUAGUAAAGCAUCGAAGCAAAUAGCGUACGUAAAAGGAUACCUAUCGAAGCUCCCUUCUAGGGGAAUGUUUUGCUCUUAUGCCUCAUGGCGACUCGGAACGAGGAGAGUUCCCUCUUUCCCGGAUGCGGAUGCCGUAGAUCACUGAACUAUGCGCUUGCCUUUACUACCUACCCUUACCUGUCUGCCUUGAACUCAAGCACCUGCGCUUCUAUCCAGAAGAUAGCUGGAACUGGCAUUGUGACUACAGAUAUAUAGCCAAUAGAAGGAAGUAUUCCCAAGCUGGAGAAGUGGGAGAGGAGAUAAAUUUCAGUGGAUCCCCUAUCUCCUUCAGCUCGAUCAAUAGAGAUAGAUGCCCCUCUUUCGAGCUACUUCGUUCGUUCCUCUUUCCUUAGGCGGG